GGAACAUUUGUUGGCUAAUAUGACAACUAAUAAAAGGGAAGAACAUCUGGCAUGAUGUGUCUUGUGCUUGUCAGAAGCACACAUUUCAUGUAAUUUAUUCAAGUGUGGAGGCUAUUUUGUCAGUACAGUAAACCCCGGAAGUAACAUCGGCCGUGACUGUACCUAAGUAUACAUAUAUUUUUAAUUUGAAUAUUAAUUUUCUAUUUUCCUUUUUUACUUUGACUCACUUUUCCCUACUUUGUCAAAAUAAGUAUUUUCUUCAAUCUCUACGGAUGACUCCAUGACAUAAAACGACAUUCUAAAAAAGGGUUGGUUUCACCUGUUGGGGGAAAUGUUGUCAAGUUACUGGAGGAAGAGGAUGAGGAGGAGGAAGAGGAAGAGAAGAAGACAAAAAAGAAAAAGUGGAAACAUAUGGCGUGAUGUGACGUAUCACUGCAGCCUGGAGCAGGUAAGGCAAAGAAGGAGAUUCCCAGGAGAGCAAAGCCUGCAGACAACAAUCUCCCAGUCCAAGUCUGCGGCGUCUUGUCGCCAUAGCCGAUGGUGGUACACAAGGAAGGAAGAGAAAAUGAGCACCAGGAAACCGAUGUACCACGCCGUCACCAGCUCCUAACAACCAACACAGUGC